rnacentral:sRNA from 1 species
ACUGCCUGUUUGUGGUUGGCUGAUGAGUUCUAUUAGAACAGUAUUGAUACUGUUUUGUGAUCUUUAAUUGAUUGAUUGAUUGAUUGAUUGCUUGGUUCAUUUACCAUGACCUUUCUCUAUUUGAGAUAUACAGAAUACAACUACUAUAAUUAUCUAUAUGACUAUCUUUGAAUAUAUACAAUUACAUGUACAAGCUUACUGCCUCAUUGAGAUCUAUUGUUGCUACAGUCAAAUUAUUUUAUAUUGAAAUCUUUCAGAUACUUCUGCAAAGUCCAGCACUGCAUUCAAAUCAUCUUUUAUAAUUAUUCAUUUUAUUUUUAAAUUUAUGAGAUUUAAAGAUUUGUCUUCAAGCAUCAGUAAGAGAUUAUUGAAUUGAUCUCUGAUUUUUUAAUG